UAGCUCGAGUUUCUCUUGAUCUACACAUUAAAACUUUUGCCUUUUACUAAAGAUUUCCGUGGGGUGAAAUCACUGUGAGUUCAAUGUGCUUUUGGACGGCUCCGCUCACAGCGGGCCU